rnacentral:rRNA from 1 species
UACGAAGGGGGCUAGCGUUGCUCGGAAUCACUGGGCGUAAAGCGCACGUAGGCGGAUUCCUAAGUCGGUGGUGAAAUCCUGGAGCUCAACUCCAGAACUGCCUCCGAUACUGAUAGUCUUCGAGUCCGGGAGAGGUGAGUGGAACUGCGAGUGUAGAGGUGAAAUUCGUAGAUAUUCGCAAGAACACCAGUGGCGAAGGCGGCUCACUGGCCCGGUACUGACGCUGAGGUGCGAAAGCGUGGGGAGCAAACAGG